UGUGGGGAACAUGAGAGCCAGACCAAAGCUCAGAGGAACCAGCCUGGACCUCCACCCAGCUCUGGGUCCUUACAGAGUGACGCAUCUAAACAGGCAGAGCCUCUGUUUGCUACAAAGAGAGAGGGCCAACAGAGCUCAUCAGAGAUUCCCAGUAGUCAGCAUCAACCACAACUGGA